GGAAUCAAACCCAGAGCCUUCUUGCUGCAAGGCAACAGCUCUACCAACUGCGCCACUGUGCAGCCCUCGUGUUAACUAGCAACGCUUUUUUGCAUUACUGUGGAGAAUGUGAAUAUGCUGUAUGGGGUUAGAGUUUGUCUAGGCCCCUCCAAAAUCUUUGUUUCAUUCUGGAGACAUUUGGGUCAGCAGGUGAGCUUCGGAUCAAAGUUCUGCUGCAUAACCCAACGCGUUUGUGAGUUUUGAUAUGACAAGCUGCUGCCUGGACGGUCGUGCUUCAGGAUUUUCUGGCUGAAUUCAGGUUUCCAUUGAUUACAGCAUGUCAUCCAGGACUCAAAGAGUCAGGCCUUCACACUACCACCAAGUUUAGGAGUUGCUAUGAUGCUCUCCUUCUGAAAUACUGUUUGUUAUCCAUCAAUUUAAACUUCCAAAAUGUUCCAACAUGUCUCUUUAGUCCAUGUAAUGUUAAACUAAAGUUAUUGGGCCUCAUAACAAUCAUUUUGGAGGGGAAAUAUACGAGAGUGCUUUUUGUUAUGUUUGGUCAGCAGUGGUUUCGGUCUUGAAAAUCUCCCUAUGAAUGUAGAUUUUGCCCCGUUUCCUUCUUAUUGUUAGAUCUCGAACACCCUGAGAUCUGCGGUGCUUCAGAUGUUGUUCUGGAUUCUUCUUUGAUAUCCUGAAAUAGUCUUUAUUGUGCUCUUGGCGUAAUUCUGUUCUGCAAUGCUCUGAAGCGUCUGGAUUGGGGCGGGGUAAUGUGUUGCUGUUUAUGCUUUUCCUAAUCCAGGUUGUCAGGUUCUAGUUAGGUGAAUUCUUGAUAUCACAGCUCAGACAAUGAUCAACCAAGGUGUAGCUAACCACAGUCUAGCUGAUCACAAGUAAUUCAUGAUUUCACAAGGGACACAAUUAUUUUCUAGCACAGAGCCAAGAUGGUGUCAAAGGCUUUUUUUCUCAUUGGAAAUGACAGUUUCAUUUCAAAAGUACUUUUUGUAUUUACCAUGGUUUUCUUAGUCUGCUUUUAAAAUUUGUUUAGUGAUCUGAGACAUGCAAAUUUUACAAAAGUCAGACAAAAGAAAGAUGUAAGGGCAAAUACUUUUUCACAGCACUGCAUACAAAUAAUCAGUCCAUUGUUGCAUCUGAACAUUUUCAGAGGGAUGAUUGUUUGUUCACCGAGUCCCCUAAUGAAGCUCUUUGAAUUAUUCAAGAAUAAAAAAAGCGUCGUCUUAACGCAGAUGAUCAAAACUGUUGCGUGUACAACAGAGACUUUCUCCCAAGUCAAACUCAGCCUUCAAAUCGUUUGCUGUUAGUCCAAGUCAGGUCUCAAAUUAAACGAGUAAAAUGAACAUUCCUGAAUAGCAUCACACAAGGCAAGAGUUUAUGUUAAUCAUAAAUUUAAAUGAUUAACUUCAAAUCCUUACUGUACCUCUUGAAUGUGUUUGGCUAAAGAACACUGCUUUUCCAAAAAAACAAACAAAAGGAGCAAAAUAAUUUUAGAAAUGGAUCUGGAAACAGCAAAGGCUGAAAGAACAAGCUGAACGUCUACAAAAGGAGGGAGUUUAGUGAGGGGGGUGGUGGAAACUGUCCCAAAAGUAACAAUUAAGAUUACUAUGUAUGCGAUGAAAACAGAACAAAAUGAGGAGAAUGUAAAUGUCAUUAUCAGGACACAUUGGGGGGUGCAGGAGUAAAAAGUAUGAAGCACAGGAACAAGAAGAUCUGACUGAAAAGUUAUUGGACCUCAAGAAAUUAUUCAUAUUUUGCUUAGAAACAAUCUGAAGGAUUAUAAUUCUGUCUGGGAGACAUAUCAUUAUCAUCAUCAUCAUGAAAUUAGAGGGUUUGUAACUAUUUAAUAGCUCAUGAUACCUGCUGAAUGAACCAGACAGACAUGUCCUUAAGCAAGAGAACAGGCACAUCUGUGUCAGAGCUUAUUUACUGCGUCUUACUUCCUGCUCGACGGUAAAAACAGAUAAACUCAGUGGCAACGAACCGCCACCAUACUUUCUGUGUGCAAUAUUGACAAGCAGUCAUCUGUAAAUCAUGCACUAACUCAGAAGGGAGAAUAAUAGUCAUUAAAUCAAAUGAUGCACACUUAAUGGCUGACUGUGAACCCCUGAUUGCAUGAAUCUUUUUAUGAGAGUCAGACCUCCAGUUCCAAUCAAGUCUUCACACCACAAGUUAAGUCUCAAGUCUUUGUUUUUUGUGACUCAAGUGCAGCUUGAGCCUCGAGGCGGAUUUGAAUUUCCAGUCAUUUCGGAUCACUUGACAAAGAACCAAUUUUAGAUUGUAAAACUGAUUAUUUAAUAGCAACUUUUCUCAACACAAACAUCAGUGUUCAUGUUCUUUGAAAAAAAACAACAACAAAGAAGCUAAAGGUAACACAGUUUGGCAGGCAUGAAAUAUCUUGUUAACACCAAAAAAUGUGAUUUCAGAAGGAAAGUUACUCUGUCGAAGUGAGUAAUUAGUGGCUUCACAAAAGGGGAAAAUAUUCCAGUGAGAACAGGAAGAGUUGAAGGUUAAACUGGAAAAAAAGAAAUGUUUAUAAAAUAAAAUCAAUGAA